ACGCCACUCAGCUAAUUCAGAGAC
rnacentral:siRNA from 1 species